rnacentral:rRNA from 1 species
UACAGAGGUCUCAAGCGUUGUUCGGAUUCAUUGGGCGUAAAGGGUGCGUAGGCGGCGCGGUAAGUCGGGUGUGAAAUCUUGGGGCUUAACCCCGAAACGGCACUCGAAACUGCCCGGCUGGAGGGCCGGAGAGGAGAUCGGAAUUCACGGUGUAGCAGUGAAAUGCGUAGAGAUCGUGAGGAAGACCCGUGGCGAAGGCGGAUCUCUGGACGGCUAAAACUGACGCUGAGGCGCGAAGGCCAGGGGAGCAAACGGG